GAUCAAAUAAGGUUACCUCACACGAAGGUGAGUCCAGAGAUACAAUUACCAUCAUAUUUUUACAUCACAGGGAUUUACAUUACAAGAGUUUCCAAAAGAAGUACGAAGAUUCAAAUUUAGAGAAAAUAUAACAAACUGUUAAAACUAUGGUUUUUGGCAGCGGAAAACAUACGCGAAGAUUUACAAUACGUCAUCAAGAUGGAUGUCAUGCUAAGCCCGGGCACGACAUCACUCGGUAUCACCAAUGUUGGUCGGGGACGGACCCCAUUC
rnacentral:lncRNA from 1 species